UUCCGGUUGAUCCUGCCGGACCUUACUGCUAUCGGGACGAGACUAAAACAUGCUAGUUGUGCGCACCCUAGCCACGUUGGGAGCGCAGCAAACGGCUCCGUAACACGUAGUCAAUCUGACCUUAGGACGGGGAUAACCCCCGGGAAACUGGGGCUAAUACCCGAUAGGCGAUAUAGCCUGGAAUGGCAUUUCACCUAAAGGGUUUUAGGAACAUGCUCCUAAAACUGCCUAAGGAUGAGACUGCGGCCGAUCAGGUUGUUGGUGGGGUAAUGGCCUACCAAGCCUAUAACCGGUACGGGCCCUGAGAGGGGGAGCCCGGAGAUGGGAACUGAGACAAGGUCCCAGACCCUACGGGGUGCAGCAGUUGCGAAACCUCUACAAUGCACGAAAGUGUGAUAGGGUUAUCCCGAGUGUCAUCCGAUGAGGAUGGCUUUUCCUUGGCGUAAGGAACCGAGGGAAUAAAGGGGGGGCAAGACUGGUGUCAGCCGCCGCGGUAAUACCAGCCCCCUAAGUGGUAGGGACGAUUAUUUGGCCUAAAGCGUCCGUAGCCGGUUUAGAAAGUCUUUUGUUAAAUCAGGUGACUUAAUUAUCUGGCUGCAAGAGAUACUGCUAGACUUGAGGACGGGAGAGGUCGACGGUAUUCCGGGGGUAGGGGCAAAAUCCUAUAAUCCUCGGAGGACCACCAGUGGCGAAGGCGGUCGACUAGAACGUGCCUGACGGUGAUGGACGAAAGCUGGGGGAGCAAACCGGAUUAGACACCCGGGUAGUCCCAGCUGUAAACGAUGUGGGCUAGGUGUUGGGGCAGCCACGAGCUGCUCCGGUGCCGCAGAGAAGUCAUUAAGCCUACCGCCUGGGAAGUACGGUCGCAAGGCUGAAACUUAAAGGAAUUGGCGGGGGAGCACCGCAAGGGGUGAAGCCUGCGGGUUCAAUUGGACUCAACGCCGGU
rnacentral:rRNA from 1 species